AAAUCCUUCCUUUUGAUCACCGACCGUUGUGGCACUCCCAUGUUUGAGGAAAUCGUUAAAUCCUUAAUUAUUGGAAAUUUGUCAGUACUCCAGUCUUCUGGGUUAAUUACGAAAAGCGAUAGUACUUGGUAUUGCCGUGUAUCAUUGUGGAUACGUUUAUUUUGGGCAAUUCUUCACCUUUAGUGUGGUUUUGUUAUCGCUUAACGUUCUGAGGCUGACUGGAUUGGGAAAAAACCCUGUACGUGUAUUGCACUGCUUAUUGGUUGAAAUUGUUCAACGUAGGGAUAUUUCCGAAAAUUGUACAGAUGCACAGAUCUGGACUACAACUAUGUUAUGAAUGUUGGUCACAAAAGAAAUGCUUAAAACUUGUCACAGAAAGUAAAAAAAAAUCCAAGCAUGUACGAACAAGAAAGGAUGGAUACUGUAAAUGUGUCUAUUUAGCUUACCUUAUCUACUGGGUGGUACUCGACUAGUAGAAAUAGAACUCACCUGAAAUGUAAAAAAAAACCAUUAGUUAUUUCCUAAAGGUAACUCUAUCACAAUAUGCUAAUCAAUUCUAGUAGGUAAUACCGCGUAUUCAAAACGUUGCACGUAACAUGUUAUGAACAAGCUUUUUUGUUUAAUUCCGAUUUUUUUGUAUUUCCGGUGGCACAGAUCUAUACAGAUUUGAUGGGUAACUCAUGCUCAAAAGCGCCCUCUAUUGGGCAGCAGUAUAAACAUUUACCUACCUUUUAAAACUGUAAAAUAACGCUAUUGAAUUUAUGCAUUAGAUAUCGCUGCAAAAAAUUUAAAGUGGUUGAGUUUCCAUAAUUCGAAUACCUUAUUAUCGGUAUUAUUACAGUGAUAUGAUAUGAUGGGAACUGGGAAGUAAGUUGAGGUACUCAUUCACUUAAAAUUUUUUUCAGCGACGUCUAAUUUUACAGUUUUGAAAGGUACAUGUUUAUACUGCUGCUCAAUAGAGGGCGUGUUUAAGUAUACCUAAAUGUACCCAUGAAACGCAUAAGGUUAGCAAUCUGUUGUUCGUGUAUAUCUGUGCCAGUGGUUUGUAUGCCUGAAAAUACAAUAAAUACCUAAGACUUUCACAACAAGGAAAUUUGCCUUUAUUUUAUUUUUGAGUGGGCGGGGUUUCAGUCAAGGCUGCUCUACCAACCCAACCCACUAUACAUUUACAAAUCUGGGGAUCAAUUUCUUUCGAGCUGAAAUGUCAAGGGGGGUUCACUCAUUAGGUUAUAAGGGAAAUAUGGAAAGUUUUGUAAAUUUAUAGUAUAAUGCGCUGGAAAAAUAUUAAAUUAUACAUAACCA